CCCGCUGAACUUAAGCAUAUCAAUAAGCGGAGGAAAAGAAACUAACAAGGAUUCCCCUAGUAACGGCGAGUGAAGAGGGAAAAGCUCAAAUUUUGAAUCUGGUGUCUUUGGCGCCCGAGUUGUAAUCUAGAGAAGUGUUUUCCGCACCGGACCGUGCACAAGUUCCCUGGAACGGGGCGUCAUAGAGGGUGAGAAUCCCGUAUAUGGCACGGACUACCGGGGCUCUGCGAUACACUCUCAACGAGUCGAGUUGUUUGGGAAUGCAGCUCAAAAUGGGUGGUAAAUUCCAUCUAAAGCUAAAUAUUGGCGAGAGACCGAUAGCGAACAAGUACCGUGAGGGAAAGAUGAAAAGCACUUUGGAAAGAGAGUGAAACAGUACGUGAAAUUGUUGAAAGGGAAGCGUUUGAAGUCAGUCGCGUCUGUCGGGAUUCAGCCUGGCUUCUGCCUGGUGUACUUUCCGUCCGACGGGUCAGCAUCGGUUUUGAUCGAGAGAAAAAGGCUUGGGGAAUGUGGCCGCCCUCGGGUGGUGUUAUAGCCCCUUGUCGUAUGUCUCGGUCGGGACCGAGGAACGCAGCGCGCCUUACGGCCGGGGUUCGCUCUCGGUACGCGCUUAGGAUGCUGGCAUAAUGGCUUUAAGCGACCCGUCUUGAAACACGG
rnacentral:rRNA from 1 species